AAUCAUGGCUCAGGACGAACGCUGGCGGCGUGCCUAACACAUGCAAGUCGAGCGGAGACAGUGAGUAGCUUGCUAUGAACUGUUUUAGCGGCGGACGGGUGAGUAACGCGUGAGCAACCUUUCCCAGACAGGGGAAUAACACACCGAAAGGUGUACUAAUACCGCAUAAGACCACGGAAUCACAUGGUUCUGGGGUAAAAGAUUUAUCGGUUUGGGGUGGGCUCGCGUCCGAUUAGGUAGUUGGUGAGGUAACGGCCC
rnacentral:rRNA from 1 species